rnacentral:rRNA from 1 species
UACGUAGGCAGCAAGCGUUGUUCGGAAUUACUGGGCGUAAAGAGUGUGUAGGCGGUGUUCUAAGUUUGUCGUGAAAUCUCCCGGCUUAACUGGGAGGGUGCGGCGAAGACUGGAAUGCUAGAGGAUGGGAGAGGUAAGCGGAAUUCCUGGUGUAGCGGUGAAAUGCGUAGAUAUCAGGAGGAACACCUGUGGUGUAGACAGCUUACUGGACCAUUUCUGACGCUGAGACACGAAAGCGUGGGUAGCAAACAGG